rnacentral:rRNA from 1 species
UACGAGGGGGGCAAGCGUUGUUCGGAAUUAUUGGGCGUAAAGGGCGCGUAGGCGGUGCGGUAAGUCACCUGUGAAACCUCUAGGCUCAACCUAGAGCCUGCAGGCGAAACUGCCGUGCUUGAGGGUGGGAGAGGUGCGUGGAAUUCUCGGUGUAGCAGUGAAAUGCGUAGAUAUCGAGAGGAACACCAGUGGCGAAGGCGAGUCCCUGGACACUUCCUGACACUGAGGCACGAAAGCUAGGGGAGCAAACAGG